CCAGGUCAUUGGCAUUCUUCACCUACAGGACUCACAGUAUUUCCCUCAGGACUAAAAGUAGAAUGCAGUUCUAUGGAGGUCCAGCCUCAGUGCCCGUGACACUGUUUGAGACCUGAAACCCUUGCUUUCUCCUCUCCUGGUGCCAUGGGUGCUGUCGUCUCCUCCUUGCUCGGGACGUGCCGCUGAUGCUGAGAUGCCCUCACACCUACUCGCACCUCUGCAGGCAGAGCCUGUCUUCUCUGUCUUCAGCAAAAGAAGGAGUUCAGAGGUGCCUGGUGCCAGCCUGCAGGUUUCUCUUCUGUGUUACUACUCUCUCGACAGCCGCUGGGAGGAGCCACACCCCUCCAGGCUUGAUUGAGCAAUCUUCCAGGUGGAAGCAAGAAGAUAUACUUCCCACGCUAGGAAUGCUUCUUGUCACUGGAUAAAGCCCAAAUCUCCAUAAUGCAGCCUUCUGUGUUUAUAUGACCAUGAAUUCUUGACAUCUUUGACUCCCUAGUAAGCAUGCAAUUUCCAGAUGUAAACUAUCCCUAAAUUAUAGUUUUCUUCAGCUCUAGGUAUGCCGCAAACAUACCUGUUCCUCUCUCGUGUUUAUG